rnacentral:rRNA from 1 species
AUUGAACGCUGGCGGCAGGCUUAACACAUGCAAGUCGAGCGGAGAUGAGGUGCUUGCACCUUAUCUUAGCGGCGGACGGGUGAGUAAUGCUUAGGAAUCUGCCUAUUAGUGGGGGACAACAUUCCGAAAGGAAUGCUAAUACCGCAUACGCCCUUCGGGGGAAAGCAGGGGAUCUUCGGACCUUGCGCUAAUAGAUGAGCCUAAGUCGGAUUAGCUAGUUGGUGGGGUAAAGGCCUACCAAGGCGACGAUCUGUAGCGGGUCUGAGAGGAUGAUCCGCCACACUGGGACUGAGACACGGCCCAGACUCCUACGGGAGGCAGCAGUGGGGAAUAUUGGACAAUGGGCGGAAGCCUGAUCCAGCCAUGCCGCGUGUGUGAAGAAGGCCUUUUGGUUGUAAAGCACUUUAAGCGAGGAGGAGGCUACUUGGAUUAAUACUCUAGGAUAGUGGACGUUACUCGCAGAAUAAGCACCGGCUAACUCUGUGCCAGCAGCCGCCGCAGUAG